AUGAGACCACUCUGUCGAAUGACUUCUGCAAAAUUAUGCUACGGGUGUGCGAAAUUGGAAAAUACAGUCCAAGCAACUAUAGUGAGUGUCCGUGUUACUAAUUGGAGGAAGAGGAAAUGGCCUUUUAAACAUGAUGGUAGAGUUAGUUGCAUUGCCAAGGGAACUUCUAAGCCCGUUAAACCCGAGCAACCUGAAGAAGAGCUUGUACUUCAAGAUCAAGUGACGGCUAACAGUUCAGAUGGUUACCUUGAUCUGUCAAGGCAUGUUGUUUCUGUAGAGUUAAACGGAAGGCUGGAAGUUAUCAUCAGUGCGGACAAAUCACGUGCCCUCAAAUCAUGUGGUCGUGUCUUCUUUCCAGCCCAGGAAAGCAAAGUAAGUCGGCGCACAUGUAAUCUUGGCUUCCAUACGGUGGAGGUUACUGUUGCUUGGUCCUUGCUUAUUCGAGACAAGCGGUAUAUCUCGAGGGAGGGAUGUGUUGAUGGCCAGACGUUUGAGCAUACUGCAAAGAUCCGGGCGAGGAAGCAUGUGGUGACAACACCGGAGACUCAUUCAGCCACAAAGGUCGUUCAGGCUAAGAUCUACUCCUUACUCAAUCUUAUCUCUGAGAGCGCUGUGAAUCUGAAACCCGAACCGAAACUGAGGAUUAGCGACUAUAGCCUUAGCGAGAUCAAAAUUCACAUGGAUAACAUGUACACCAACGUGACGAGUUUGAUCCAGAUGAUGGGCAAAGUGCAGAACAGGGAGAUUCUGGGCAAAGAGCCAGUCACGGAAAAGAUGGGUGUGAAGGGGAUCCAGAUUAGGACCGAAGACAGCGGCGAAUCAGCAAUGGAGAUGCAGGCGUCGAGGACCUACUACAACUACGGAUUGAAUGCGAUCUUCAAUGGGUUGGAUCAGCUCUGCACCCAGUUGGAUCAGAUGGGACAUCUUAGCUACAAAUCUCCAUCGUUCUCCGAGCUGUUCAAGGAGCCGCUGGACGAGGUGUCGCUGAUGAGUUCCUCUUCCAUGGAGACAAAAUUGGAGACAGAAGAAGUCGAGGAGAUGGGAGAGGAUGCCAACAUGGACAAGGGGCAGACUGAUGAGGAGUUCUUUGCUAGGUACCGCAGCGGCUGGGUAUCGAAUUGGUCCAGAUUCCACGGUUCCUUCACAGAGACGACGUCAUUGAGUCCUAUGCACUAUACACACAUUACACCAGGACAACGCCCAUUGGCUGCUCUCGUCGAUAGCACUUUGCAGAUCUACUCCCUCAAAGUCGCAAAAAUAGAAGAUGGUUCUGGCUUGAAGUGGCCACUGCAAGUGUAUGGCGUGGUUGCUGCAAGAGACAGCGUGGAUCACAAUCGCAACAUUCUCUUCUCCCGUCGAAGGAGUAACUGCCAAAUACUCACUCAAGAGGAUCCUUUUUUGCGCCUGACUGGCCCGUCUCGUGCAAUUGUGAGUCGGGAACCUCUUAAUGUGGAAAUCGAGCUGAAAGUGAAGGGCACAACCAAGUCUGAAGAUAAACCAUUGAUGAGUUUUUUCUGUUAUUACAGCGGUAGUCAUUGUGGGAUAUGUACUCUAUAUAUCCCUCUCGAAGGAGACUUUUGCACAAUGGCGUUAAGCUCAGAGGAAGUUUAUGAAUCAGUACAGGCAACUGUCGUGGGUAUCCGUGUCUGUGUUCCUGAAGAGACACCAAGUCUUUUUAAAAAUGGUGGCCGAGUUGUUUGCUCCUCUCUGCCUCGGAGAAGAGCCAAAUUGCCUGAUCCUGAACACAGGACUGGCCCUUGUUUCGGCAAGUUGUGCUUCAAGAUGGAGCAACGACAAGUUGUUCACAGGGUUACCUUGAUCUGUCAAGGCAUGUUGUCUCUGUAG
rnacentral:rRNA from 1 species